AUCUGGGGAAACCCUAUACUUUAACUUGAAUAAAACAAUAAAGUCCUCCAAACUAAUAUGUGAUUUCUGCCCAGAGCUCCAAAAGUCAAAGUAAAGAAAUUCAAUGAAGUGAGGGUAACACACGGAGUAAACAUGACUUUCAAGGUAGCCAAAUGCCCCAUUAUCUAAAUAAUGACGCCCGCCCAUCAAUGAACAAACAAGAUUCCC
rnacentral:ncRNA from 1 species